UAACUGGGCGUUAAGUUGCAGGGUAUAGACCCGAAACCCGGUGAUCUAGCCAUGGGCAGGUUGAAGGUUGGGUAACACUAACUGGAGGACCGAACCGACUAAUGUUGAAAAAUUAGCGGAUGACUUGUGGCUGGGGGUGAAAGGCCAAUCAAACCGGGAGAUAGCUGGUUCUCCCCGAAAGCUAUUUAGGUAGCGCCUCGUGAAUUCAUCUCCGGGGGUAGAGCACUGUUUCGGCAAGGGGGUCAUCCCGA
rnacentral:rRNA from 1 species